AACGAACGCUGGCGGCAUGCCUAACACAUGCAAGUCGAACGGGAUCCAGGCUUCGGCCUGGUGAGAGUGGCGGACGGGUGAGUAACACGUGGGAACCUGCCUUUUGGUUCGGGAUAACCGCGGGAAACUGCGGCUAAUACCGGAUGCUCCCGAGAGGGGAAAGAUUUAUCGCCAGAAGAGGGGCCCGCGUCCGAUUAGGUAGUUGGUGAGGUAAUGGCUCACCAAGCCGACGAUCGGUAGCUGGUCUGAGAGGAUGAUCAGCCACACUGGGACUGAGAUACGGCCCAGGCUCCUACGGGAGGCAGCAGUGGGGAAUAUUGGACAAUGGGGCGAAAGCCUGAUCCAGCAAUGCCGCGUGAGUGAUGAAGGCCUUAGGGUUGUAAGCUCUUUUACCCGGGAUGAUAAUGACAGUACCGGGAGAAGUAAGCCCGGCUACUCCGUGCCAGCAGCCGCGGUAAU
rnacentral:rRNA from 1 species